GACUUCGGUCUGGAGUACAGCGGCGAACGGGUGAGUAACACGUGGGCAACCUGCCUCGAGGACUGGGAUAACUCCGGGAAACCGGAGCUAAUACCGGGCGAUGUCGUCCGGCACAAGCCGGCCGACCAAAUGGUAGCUUCGGCCUCUGCCUCGAGAUGGGCCCGCGUCCUAUCAGCUAGUUGGUGAGGUAACGGCCCACCAAGGCUACGACGGGUAGCUGGUCUGAGAGGAUGAUCAGCCACACUGGGACUGAGAUACGGCCCAGACUCCUACGGGAGGCAGCAGUGGGGAAUCUUGCGCAAUGGGCGAAAGCCUGANNNANCAACGCCGCGUGAGCGAAGAAGGCCUUCGGGUUGUAAAGCUCUGUCAGGGGGAAAGAAGGCACCUGGGUUAAUAGCCCAAGGGUUGACGGUACCCCCAAAGGAAGCCACGGCUAACUACGUGCCAGCAGCCGCGGUAAUACGUAGGUGGCAAGCGUUGUCCGGAAUCAUUGGGCGUAAAGCGCGCGUAGGUGGCUUGUCAGGUCUGAUGUGAAAACCUGGGGCUCAACCCCAGGCCUGCAUCGGAAACCGGCUUGCUAGAGUCUGGGAGAGGAGAGUGGAAUUCCUGGUGUAGCGGUGAAAUGCGUAGAU
rnacentral:rRNA from 1 species